rnacentral:rRNA from 1 species
AGCUUGCGUCACAUUAGUUAGUUGGUGGGGUAAAGGCCUAACAAGACUAUGAUGUGUAGCCGGGCUGAGAGGUUGAACGGCCACAUUGGGACUGAGACACGGCCCAAACUCCUACGGGAGGCAGCAGUAGGGAAUUUUCGGCAAUGGAGGAAACUCUGACCGAGCAACGCCGCGUGAACGAUGAAGUAUUUCGGUACGUAAAGUUCUUUUAUUAGGGAAGAAUAAAUGAUGGAAAAAUCAUUCUGACGGUACCUAAUGAAUAAGCCCCGGCUAACUAUGUGCCAGCAGCCGCGGUAAUACAUAGGGGGCAAGCGUUAUCCGGAAUUAUUGGGCGUAAAGGGUGCGUAGGCGGUUAAAUAAGUUUAUGGUCUAAGUGCAAUGCUCAACAUUGUGAUGCUAUAAAAACUGUUUAGCUAGAGUAAGAUAGAGGCAAGUGGAAUUCCAUGUGUAGUGGUAAAAUGCGUAAAUAUAUGGAGGAACACCAGUAGCGAAGGCGGCUUGCUGGGUCUUUACUGACGCUGAGGCACGAAAGCGUGGGGAGCAAACAGGAUUAGAUACCCUGGUAGUCCACGCCGUAAACGAUGAGUACUAAACGUUGGGUAAAACCAGUGUUGAAGUUAACACAUUAAGUACUCCGCCUGAGUAGUACGUACGCAAGUAUGAAACUUAAAGGAAUUGACGGGACUCCGCACAAGCGGUGGAUCAUGUUGUUUAAUUCGAAGGUACCCGAAAAACCUCACCAGGUCUUGACAUGCUUCUGCAAAGCUGUAGAAACACAGUGGAGGUUAUCAGUUGCACAGGUGGUGCAUGGUUGUCGUCAGCUCGUGUCGUGAGAUGUUGGGUUAAGUCCCGCAACGAGCGCAACCCUUAUUGUUAGUUACCAGCACGUAAUGGUGGGGACUUUAGCAAGACUGCCAGUGAUAAAUUGGAGGAAGGUGGGGACGACGUCAAAUCAUCAUGCCCCUUAUGACCUGGGCUACAAACGUGAUACAAUGGCUGUUACAAAGGGUAGCUGAAGCGCAAGUUUUUGGCGAAUCUCAAAAAAACAGUCUCAGUUCGGAUUGAAGUCUGC